UAAGGUUCGACUUGAGCGCCAGCGAGAGAGCGUUGCCGCAGGCAACGACCCGAAGGGCGAAGCGCGCAGCGCUGAGUAAUCCUUCCCCCACCACCA
rnacentral:sRNA from 1 species